rnacentral:rRNA from 1 species
UUGACCUCGGAUCAGGUAGGGAUACCCGCUGAACUUAAGCAUAUCAAUAAGCGGAGGAAAAGAAACCAACCGGGAUUGCCUCAGUAACGGCGAGUGAAGCGGCAAGAGCUCAAAUUUGAAAGCUGGCUCCUUCGGAGUCCGCAUUGUAAUUUGCAGAGGAUGCUUUGGGUGCGGCCCCCGUCUAAGUGCCCUGGAACGGGCCGUCAGAGAGGGUGAGAAUCCCGUCUUGGGCGGGGUGUCCGUGCCCGUGUAAAGCUCCUUCGACGAGUCGAGUUGUUUGGGAAUGCAGCUCUAAAUGGGUGGUAAAUUUCAUCUAAAGCUAAAUACUGGCCGGAGACCGAUAGCGCACAAGUAGAGUGAUCGAAAGAUGAAAAGCACUUUGAAAAGAGAGUUAAACAGCACGUGAAAUUGUUGAAAGGGAAGCGCUUGCAACCAGACUCGCCCGCGGGGUUCAGCCGGCAUUCGUGCCGGUGUACUUCCCCGUGGGCGGGCCAGCGUCGGUUUGGGCGGCCGGUCAAAGGCCCCUGGAAUGUAGUGCCCUCCGGGGCACCUUAUAGCCAGGGGUGCAAUGCGGCCAGCCUAGACCGAGGAACGCGCUUCGGCUCGGACGCUGGCAUAAUGGUUGUAAACGACCCGUCU